rnacentral:tRNA from 1 species
GGGCCCGUAGCUCAGCUGGUCAGAGCAGCUGACUCAUAAUCAGCGGGUCGGGGGUUCGAAUCCUCCCGGGCCCACCA